rnacentral:rRNA from 1 species
AGUGAACGCUGGCGGUAGGCCUAACACAUGCAAGUCGAACGGCAGCACAGUAAGAGCUUGCUCUUACGGGUGGCGAGUGGCGGACGGGUGAGGAAUACAUCGGAAUCUACUUUUUCGUGGGGGAUAACGUAGGGAAACUUACGCUAAUACCGCAUACGACCUACGGGUGAAAGCAGGGGAUCUUCGGACCUUGCGCGAUUGAAUGAGCCGAUGUCGGAUUAGCUAGUUGGCGGGGUAAAGGCCCACCAAGGCGACGAUCCGUAGCUGGUCUGAGAGGAUGAUCAGCCACACUGGAACUGAGACACGGUCCAGACUCCUACGGGAGGCAGCAGUGGGGAAUAUUGGACAAAGGGCGCAAGCCUGAUCCAGCCAUACCGCGUGGGUGAAGAAGGCCUUCGGGUUGUAAGGCCCUUUUGUUGGGAAAGAAAAGCAGCAGGUUAAUACCCCGCUGUUCUGACGGUACCCAAAGAAUAAGCACCGGCUAACUUCGUG